rnacentral:rRNA from 1 species
CCCUUAGAUGUUCUGGGCUGCACGCGCGCUACACUGAUGCGCUCAACGAGUUUACGACCUUGCCCGGAAGGGUUGGGUAAUCUUUUUAAAACGCAUCGUGAUGGGGAUAGAUUAUUGCAAUUAUUAAUCUUUAACGAGGAAUUCCUAGUAAGCACAAGUCAUCAGCUUGUGUUGAUUACGUCCCUGCCCUUUGUACACGCCGCCCGUCGCUCCUACCGAUUGAAUGUUCCGGUGAGCUCUUCGGACUGCGCGGUCUGCAGUUUCUGCGUUCCGUGCGGAAAGUUGCGCAAACCUUAACAUUUAGAGGAAGGAGAAGUCGUAACA